AGAAACAAGAGAGAUUUGGAGCCUUCAAGGACCACCUAAGUUUGGACAAGUACACACAACCGGUGACCACAAGGGACGAAAGAGGCCACUAAACAUUUCCUAAAUGAAAUGAUAUUUCCCAGUUCUAUCAAAGCUACUCCAAGGAACAAAGUCGAACCCUUGGGUCAGAAGGAUCGGAUCCCCAGAGACGACAGGAGAAGUUCAGAGCAUUAAGGUCAGAAUCUGGGUUACUCAAGGGGCAGAAUUUCACCUCAAGGGAUUGUUAAAGACUAGGAUGACCAUCUGGCCCUUGUCAAAAUGCAAAGGACUAUUGCAGUAG
rnacentral:lncRNA from 1 species